rnacentral:rRNA from 1 species
AACGAACGCUGGCGGCAUGCCUAACACAUGCAAGUCGAACGAGACCCCUGACUUCGGUUGGCGGGUCUAGUGGCGCACGGGUGCGUAACGCGUGGGAAUCUGCCCCUUGGGUUCGGAAUAACUCAGAGAAAUUUGAGCUAAUACCGGAUGAUGACGAAAGUCCAAAGAUUUAUCGCCCAGGGAUGAGCCCGCGUAAGAUUAGCUUGUUGGUGGGGUAAUGGCCUACCAAGGCGACGAUCUUUAGCUGGUCUGAGAGGAUGAUCAGCCACACUGGGACUGAGACACGGCCCAGACUCCUACGGGAGGCAGCAGUGGGGAAUAUUGGACAAUGGGCGCAAGCCUGAUCCAGCAAUGCCGCGUGAGUGAUGAAGGCCUUAGGGUUGUAAAGCUCUUUUACCAGGGAUGAUAAUGACAGUACCUGGAGAAUAAGCUCCGGCUAACUCCGUGCCAAGCAGCCGCGGUAAUCUGUAGUCGU